rnacentral:rRNA from 1 species
UGGGGAAUUUUGGACAAUGGGCGAAAGCCUGAUCCAGCAAUGCCGCGUGUGUGAAGAAGGCCUUCGGGUUGUAAAGCACUUUUGUCCGGAAAGAAAUCCUUGGCUCUAAUACAGUCGGGGGAUGACGGUACCGGAAGAAUAAGCACCGGCUAACUACGUGCCAGCAGCCGCGGUAAUACGUAGGGUGCAAGCGUUAAUCGGAAUUACUGGGCGUAAAGCGUGCGCAGGCGGUUUGCUAAGACCGAUGUGAAAUCCCCGGGCUCAACCUGGGAACUGCAUUGGUGACUGGCAGGCUAGAGUAUGGCAGAGGGGGGUAGAAUUCCACGUGUAGCAGUGAAAUGCGUAGAGAUGUGGAGGAAUACCGAUGGCGGAGGCAGCCCCCUGGGCCAAAUACUGACGCUCAUGCACGAAAGCGUGGGGAGCAAACAGGAUUAGAUACCCUGGUAGUCCACGCCCUAAAACGAUGUCAACUAGUUGUUGGGGAUUCAUUUCCUUAGUAACGUAGCUAACGCGUGAAGUUGACCGCCUGGGGAGUACGGUCGCAAGAUUAAAACUCAAAUGAAUUGACGGGGUCAUAGCUGUUUCCU